rnacentral:lncRNA from 1 species
AUACCAGGAUUUGGAUGAAGGGGUAGGAAUGAUAGAAGUAAAUUGUCGGAGGAGACAAAAAAUACCAGGAUAUGGUUGGUGGGUUAGGAAUGAUAGUAGUGAAUUGUGGAUAGAGACAAAAAAUACCAGGAUAUGGAUGGUGGGUUAGGAAUGAUAGUAGUGAAUUGUGGAUAGACAAAAAAUACUAGGAUUUGGAUGAAGGGGUAGGAAUGAUAGAAGUAAAUUGUGGGAGGAGACAAAAAAUACCAGGAUGAAGGGGUAGGAAUAAUAGAAGUAAAUUGUGGGAGGAGACAAAAAAUACCAGGAUGAAGGGGUAGGAAUAAUAGAAGUAAAUUGUGGGAGGAGACAAAAAAUACCAGGAUGAAGGGGUAGGAAUAAUAGAAGUAAAUUGUGGGAGGAGACAAAAAAUACCAGGAUAGGAUACAGGGAUAGGAAUGAUAGCGAGGAAUUGUGGAAGGAGACAAUAAAUACCUGGAUAUGGAUCCAGAGUUAGGAAUGAAAGCAGAGGAUUGUGGAAGAAGAUGAAAAAUAUCAGGAUAAGGAUGCAGAAAUGAGAAUGAUAGUAGGAGUAAGGAAAAGGUGGUAAGAAUGCAAUGGAACGAGAAUGCCAGUUAGACAAAAAUUAAGGAGUGAGAAGGAGUGAAAGUAGAUUUGUAUUUAGAGGAAGUGGAGAGUGAGUGUAGUGGAGGAAGGAUGAGUUGAGGUGAAAUACUACUUGAGAGAUGGAGACAGAAGAACUAAGUAGGUAAGGAAUUUACACUGGAGAGGAUGAGGGAAAGGCAAAGCAGAAAAUGAAUAUGAGGUAAAGGAAGGGACAUUUUACAAUACACUUUACAAAAAUAUACAGAAAAUAUGAGUUUUUAGAAGUUGGCUAAAAAUAUUUUGAAAGAUGCAACAACACAAGACACAAGAAAGAAAAAUACAGGAAAAAGAAGAUGAAGACGAUUUCCACCUGAAAAAAAGCAUAACAGUGUGGCAACACCCAACAAAAUAUCUAACAAUUCAAUGAAACUAACAUUAUAUUAGAAGAAAAGGGAAUUGUAAUAAAGAGAAAGUACUAAUUCUGAGUAUUUAAUGGACUGGGGGUCCAUUAACAAAUCUAGCAAAGAAUUAUGAAAAGGGUCAAUCCUAGAACAGAAAGAACUGAAAAUAAAAAAUGGAAGGGACAUUUCCUAAAAGCUCAAGAAAACAAAAAAUAACCAUGUAUUGACAUAUACUUCGAUAUUGAAUUUGAACUGAAGGUUCGCCUCCAAAGCAAAUAAAUAAAACCUGAAACUAAAAAAUGGAAGGGAUAUUUCCUAAAAAGUACAAGAAAACAAAAAAUAACCAUGUAUCGACAUAUACUUUGAUAUUGAAUUUGAACGGAAGGUUCGCCUCCAAAGCAAAUAAAUAAAACCUGAAACUAAAAAAUGGAAGGGAUAUUUCCUAAAAAGUACAAGAAAACAAAAAAUAACCAUGUAUCGACAUAUACUUCGAUAUUGAAUUUGAACUGAAGGUUCGCCUCCAAAGCAAAUAAAUAAAACCUGAAACUAAAAAAUGGAAGGGACAUUUCCUAAAAAGUACAAGAAAACAAAAAAUAACCAUGUAUCGACAUAUACUUCGAUAUUGAAUUUGAACUGAAGGUUCGCCUCCAAAGCAAAUAAAUAAAACCUGAAACUAAAAAAUGGAAGGGACAUUUCCUAAAAAGUACAAGAAAACAAAAAAUAACCAUGUAUCGACAUAUACUUCGAUAUUGAAUUUGAACUGAAGGUUCGCCUCCAAAGCAAAUAAAUAAAACCUGAAACUAAACAGUGAGAAAAUAAAAUUUAAAUUUCAAAAACAAAGCUAAUAGAAAGAAUAACUGAAGAGAAACUACUAAAAAGGGGUUGAUGGUCUAGGCAUGCAUCACCAAUUUCAUACAAGUCGCCCACAACCGAAUUGAACAGUUCAACAAUACAAAUUUAAUUACAUUUAAUUACAAAAGUCAGACUUUAGAAUUGAACGUAUUUACAAAUUGAAUGUAUUUAAAAGAAAAAUUGAUUCAAAAGAAGGAGCUUCACAAGUUACAUCGAAAGAUGCCACUUGUAAAUAAUUAUAAACUUGUAUGAAAAUUUAAAAUACUGUAAAGACAAAUGAUUGAAAUGAUGAAAACUGAAAUAAAUUGAAAAGUAUGAGAAGAGAGAAUUUGAUUGAACUGUUGAAAUCGGUUGAGAGCUGACUUUUACCUUUUUUGAAGUUCUGCGAUGUCCUCUCCCCUCCUCCUCAUACUGCCUGCCUGCAUCGAUGCCUGAAAAGCCCCCCCACCCCAAAAUAGAACACACCCAAUGCUCAUUUAUUUCAGAACAAGAAAAAGCUAAAAAAAACAUGACAACAUGCAAAAGCUGAAAAACAUAACACAACAACAAAACAUUU